GAGCUAGUAUCAUUCGUAAAGGUAAAUACAUAACUUGAUGAUACUUUGCAAUUGUGCACUGAUUAUAUUUCAAUGUUGGUUAUUAAAAUUCUAUUAUUCAAAAGAAAAGCUAGCAGCUGUUGCUUAUCAAAAUUCACAAGAAUAAGAAUAGAAUAAAAUUUCAAAACAUAGCAGGGAACUACCUUUUGUUUAUAUGCUAUUUCCAAGUUCAGUAUUUUUCUACUGUUUUUCAUGUUCUUGGUUUAGCAAGGAAGUCUUGCUAUAGUUAAUUUGGAAAGCCUUUCUUGGCACGAUAAAGAGUCAAAUGCUUAACUGUGCUCUAAGGGCUCUGGUUGUUAAGGAUUCCUAAGAAAAUAUGUAGCAUUGGUUAGCAGGGUUAAACGUUACACUCUUCUAUGAAUAAUUUUCAAAUUCCUCACGUGUUUUUAGAACAUUGUUUAGCAAGGAUUUAAAUAAGAAUGAUGUCUUUUAUUUUUAUUUAUUUUUUCCUCUUCUUCCCUUUUCUGACUUCCGUCUCUCAACAACAUUUUUUUGGUUUGAUACCAUUGCCGCUUUCUGCUGCAUUUAUACCAAGGAGAUCUCGGACAUGAACAAUAAAGAGAAGUGAGAAGCUGCUCAUAAGAAGAAAGAAAAAGGGGAAUCAUUGCACCGACGUCGUGAAUAUGCAAGAGCUUCUAAAAGAUUUGAGAAGGCUCUAAAGUUCAUAGAGAAUGAUAUUUCCUUCAGUGAUGAGGAGAAGAGAUAUGUCAAGGACUUGAAGGUUUAUAUUGAUCUGGGAAUUGAUGGAUGCAAUAGGGGAUUAAAUGAGAAUGAUGAACGAAGAAAUCAAAUUUGUGAGGCGUAUGGAUAUUAAGGCGAUGCAUAUGAUGUAGUACAUUCUCGCUUCUAUGCAAUACAUUGUCAAGUUCUGGACCGUGCAUAUGAUGUCAAGUUGAAGUCAGAGCAUGGUUUAUUUUGUUUGUCUCUCUGUUUGUGAUUUACUGUCAUGCUCUCAAACUAGUGUUUCAUCAUAUUG